CAAAAAAUAGUUUAAUUUAAAAUAUUAAUUUUGGAGAUUAAAGUUAUAAUUUUAUUUUUUUGA
rnacentral:tRNA from 1 species